UAGGACGCUUCGAGGGCGCGGCCGCGCCACGGCUCGCUUCGCUUCCAGGCUGCCCGGCCUCCCGCGUACGCAUGCGCCGCUCGCCCGUCUCGGGGCGGCUGGCUAGCUAACGGGGAAGGUCAACCCGGCACUGCGGGGAGCGCGCCCGGGCGAGUUCGGUGGUCGUUCUUCUGCGUCACGACCAUUAAUGCGUCAUUCCUCCUGGACGGACGGUCCCGGGCGGAGCGCUAGGCGAGCAGACGGCAGCCAAGGGGCCUGAAGUGAACCCUCAGCCUGAGAGAGCCUGGGUCUGCGACACGCGGCAGAGCAUGAAGAACAAACCAUAAUGGCCACCACCCAGGGAGCACGCCCACGUGACCACCAUCCAGAAUAUGGAGCUGGUUUCGAAGGCGAAAACAGGAGGAUGUGCAAACAGAAGGUGUGCAAACAGGAGGAUAGCUCCCAGUGGAAGAACCUGACCUUCCGGCAUUGAGGUGUGUGAUGUGCCCGGAACCAGAUUUUUUUUUCAGCUUUAUUAGAUGCUGCAAAUCAGUCAUGAAGACAUCUUUAACUAUGCUGAUGAAUAUACAUUUGGUAGCUAUAUUUAGGACUUUUAUUUUAAACAUUUUCUUCAUUGAAACUGGAAGGUGUUGCUUAGCUACCUUCCCCUUUUCUUAGCCGUAGUCUAUGAUCUCAUGUAAUUUCUGCUGCUGCAGGUGCUAGGAGCCGGCUGUUGUCAGGAACUUUAUAUUCAGAAGUAUAAACAGGAUAUGUCUUGCUGUUGCUUUUGUGAUAUUAACUCCUUACUCUCCUAAGCCUACACAUUGUUUCUUUAUAUGUGCAUGCUUUGCCUGGAGGGAUGUAUGUUGAAUAAACAUGACAAUUAUGGUGAUAAUUAACACAUGCAGUUAUACUAGAUUAUCAUUUCUUAUAAAAGUUCAUUUUUAGCAUAAA